UACAGAGGUCUCAAGCGUUGUUCGGAUUCAUUGGGCGUAAAGGGUGCGUAGGUGGCAUGGUAAGUCGGAUGUGAAAUCCCGGGGCUCAACCCCGGAACUGCAUUCGAUACUGCUGCGCUAGAGUACUGGAGAGGAGAUUGGAAUUUACGGUGUAGCAGUGAAAUGCGUAGAUAUCGUAAGGAAGACCAGUGGCGAAGGCGGAUCUCUGGACAGUUACUGACGCUGAGGUGCGAAAGCGUGGGGAGCAAACAGG
rnacentral:rRNA from 1 species